rnacentral:lncRNA from 12 species
GGGGACACUGUGACACAUUUGGUGACACAUUGGGGACACUGUGACACAUUUGGUGACACAUUGGGGACACUGUGACACAUUUGGUGACACAUUUGGGGACACUGUGACACAUUUGGGGACACUUUUGGUGACACUGUGACACAUUCGGUGACACUUUUGGUGACACUGUGACACAUUCAGUGACACUUUUGGUGACACUGUGACACAUUCGGUGACACGUUGGUGACACUGUGACACAUUUGGUGACACGUUUGGGGACACUGUGACACAUUUGGUGACACGUUGGGGACACUGUGACACAUUUGGGGACACUUUUGGGGACACUGUGACACAUUUAGUGACUCGUUUGGGGACACUGUGACACAUUUGGUGACACGUUCGGGGACACUGUGACCCCCACAGUGACGACCCCGAGGGCCUCUUUGUCAACACCAACCGGGGGGGGACCCCUGGGGACACGGGGGACAGCGAGGAGGACACGGGGGACAGCGACGGGGACAGCGACGGGGACAACGAGCACGAUGGGGACAACGAGCACGAUGGGGACAACGGCGGGGACAGCGACGAGGACGAGGAGGACACCGGGGACAGCGAUGGUGACAAUGAUGGUGACAAUGAUGGUGACAGCGAUGGUGACAAUGAUGGUGACAGCGAUGGUGACAAUGAUGGUGACAGCGAUGGUGACAAUGAUGGUGACAGCGAUGGUGACAAUGAUGGUGACAGCGAUGGUGACAAUGAUGGUGACAGCGAUGGUGACAAUGAUGGUGACAGCGAUGGUGACAAUGAUGGUGACAGCGAUGGUGACAAUGAUGGUGACAGCGAUGGUGACAAUGAUGGUGACAGCGAUGGUGACAAUGAUGGUGACAGCGAUGGUGACAGCGGGGAGCGCCAGCGCCACACCAAGGACACCAGGAGUGACACGGCCAGGAGCAGGGACACUGGGGACAAGGACAGUGGGGACACUGGGGACAGGGGACAUGGGGACAGUCCCCAAUAAAGGGCUGGUGGCACUGCGGGGGUGGCGCCGUGUGUCCCCUCCCCCCUCAGUGACACGCGGUGACACAAAGUGACUCCGGAGGCGUUUAUUGUCCCCAGGGGCGGGAGCGGGGGCAGGGCUGUCCCAAAAGUGUCCCCAGGGGUGUCCCCAGGGGGUCCCAAAAAUGUCCCCAGGGGGUCCCCGGGGUGUCCCCGGGGUGUCCAGGGGUGUCCCCAAAGUGUCCCCAGGUGUCCCCGUGCCCCUCACUUCGUGAUGGUGUUCCUGGAAGAGAAAUGGGGGGUCAGAGUCCCAGUGCUCCCAGUUCCUUCUCCAGUCCAUCCCAGUUUCAUCCCAGUGCCCUCCCAGUCCUUUCCUGUCCAUCCCAGUCCCCCCCCAGUCUCUCCCAAUCAUCUCCCAGUCGCUCCCAGUUAGUCCCAAUCCUCUCCUAGUCCCUCCCAGUGCUCCCAGUCCCAUCCCAGUCCAUCCGAAUCCUCUCCCAGUUAGUCCCAAUCCCCUCCCAAUCCUUUCCCAGUCGGUCCCAAUCCUCUCCCAGUCCACCCCAGUCCCCCCCCAGUGCUCCCAGUGCUCCCAGUCUCACGCGUUCAUGCUCUUCCCGGAGCCGCUCAGGACGAUGUACGGCGUCUUCUGCGCCCGCUGCUUCUCCUGCAGCAAGCCCCCCCCCCCCCCCCCCCCCCCCCCCCCCCCCCCCCCCCCCCCCCCCCCCCC